rnacentral:rRNA from 1 species
AUGGCGGCGGGAUCAAGUUUGCAGGGGCAGCAGGGCAAGGAGACGACAGAGGAGCUACUUGCCAGGUUGAAUCUGCAGGAGGAGGAAGAUGAUGAAUUUGUGUGGGAGGAGGAACUUCCGGAUCUGGGGGCACCGGUGAAGUGGCUUGCCAUAGCCAGGGUGCACACCUCAAGGACUUUCAGCCCUAAUGCUCUGUACGGGGACAUGCGUGCCACAUGGAACCCUAUGAAAACGGUGGUUUGGAGGAAGGUUAAGGACAACUUGUUUACAACUCAAUUCGGUUGUCUUGGGGAUUGGAACAAGGCCAUGUUUGAGGGGCCAUGGCUUUUCAGAGAUCAGGAAGUGAUCAUGGUGGAGUACGAUGGUUUCAAAAACCCGGAUAGCAUCAAGUUGGAUAAGAUGGCAGUGUGGGCACAGAUCCAUCGGUUACCUGACAACUUUUUAAUCGAGCCUGCAGUCAGGGGGAUGGCAUCACGCAUUGGUGAGGUGGAGGAAGUUCAGCUUAAGCUACUGGCAGGUUUUUUGGUGAAUUUGUCUGGGUAA